rfam:Aedes albopictus isolate Foshan contig22606, whole genome shotgun sequence.
UGUUCUGUGGUUUAGUUUGUUAAAACGCCGUAUUAGCAACACGGAGUCAUGGGUUCAAAUCUCACCAAAACAG